UACGUAGGUGGCAAGCGUUGUCCGGAUUGACUGGGCGUAAAGCGCACGUAGGCGGCUUUCUAAGUCGGGGGUGAAAUCCUGGAGCUCAACUCCAGAACUGCCUUUGAUACUGAAGAUCUUGAGUUCGGGAGAGGUGAGUGGAACUGCGAGUGUAGAGGUGAAAUUCGUAGAUAUUCGCAAGAACACCAGUGGCGAAGGCGGCUCACUGGCCCGAUACUGACGCUGAGGCACGAAAGCGUGGGGAGCAAACAGG
rnacentral:rRNA from 1 species